CACCAUCAAAAAACACUAGGUUCUCCAGUCAGUGCCCUUGAUCAAGGCACUGGCUCACAUCUGGAGUGGGUCCCCGGGUGCUGUAGAUGACUGCCCACUGCUCCCUUGAGGGAUAGGUUAUGUGCAGAGAAUGAAGUUCGCAACAUGUAUGUGUAUGUGACAGUAAAGUACCUUUACCUUAAA